UCUGGCGUAGCCGGCAGGUGAUUUUGCAUGUCCGGUGGUGGUUCCGGCGAGUCGAGCUGGUUGUUCCCAGCAUGUCCGGCAGGUGGUUCCGGUCUGUCCGGCAGGUGGUUCUGGCGUGUCCGGCACGAGGUUCUGGCACGUCUGAGAGGUGGUUCCGGCAUGCCCGACAGGUGAUUCCGGAGUGUCCGCCACGUGGUUCUGGCGUACCCGGCAGGUGAUUUUGGCGUGUCUGGCAGGUGUUUCUUGCAAGUCGAGCAUGUGGCUCAGGCAUGCUCAGCACGUGCUUCCGGCGUGUCCGGCACGUGGUUCUGGUGUGUCUGAGAGCUGGUUCUGGCAUGUCCGGCAGAUGAUUCCGGAGUGUCCGCCAAGUGGUUCUGGCAUACCUGGCAGGUGAUUUUGGCGUGUCAGGUAGGUGGUUCCGGCGAGUCGAGUAGGUGGUUCCGGCGUGCUCGGCAGGUGGUUCAGGCGGGUCUGGCAGGUGGUUUCGGUAUGUUCGGGAUGUGGUUCCGGCAUCUCAGGCACAUGGUUCUGGCACGUCUGAGAGGUGGUUCUGGACGGCCCGACAGGUGUUUCAAUGGUGUCCGCCAAGUGGUUCUGGCAUAGCUGGCAGGUGAUUUUGCAUGUCCGGCGGUGGUUCCAGUGAGUCGAGACGGUGGUUGCAUCAUGUCCGGCAGGUGGUUCUGGUCUGUCCGGCAGGUGGUUCUGGCGUGUCCGGCACGAGGUUAAGGCACGUCUGAGAGGUGGUUCCGGCAUGCCCGACAGGUGAUUCCGGAGUGUCCGCCACGUGGUUCUGGCGUACCCGGCAGGUGAUUUUGGCGUGUCUGGCAGGUGUUUCUUGCAAGUCGAGCAUGUGGCUCAGGCAUGCUCAGCAGGUGCUUCCGGUGUCAUAGGCACGUGGUUCUGGCAUGUCUGAGAGAUGGUUCCGGCAUGCCUGGCAGGUGAUUCCGGAUUGUUCCCCAAGUGGUUCUGACGUAGCCGGCAGGUGAUUUUGCAUGUCUGGCGGUGGUUCAUGCGGGUCGAGCCGCUUGUUCUCGGCAUGUCCGGCAGGUGGCUGCGGUCUGUCCGGCAGGUGGUUCUGGGGUGUCUGGCACCAGUUCUGGCACGUCUGAGAGUUGGUUCCUGCAUGCCCGGCAGGUGAUUCCGGACUGCGCCCCAGGUGUUUCCCGCAUAGCCAGCUGUUGACUUUGGCGUGUCCAGCAGGUGGUUCCGGAGAGUCGGGCAGGUGGCUACGGUGUGCUUGGCAGGUGGUUCCAGCAUGUCUGGCAGGUGGUUCCGGUCUGUCCGGUAUGUGUUUCCGGCGUGUCUGACACGUCCUUCUGGCAUGUCUGAGAGGUGGUUCCGGCAUGCGCGAGAGAUGAUUCCGGAGUGUCAGCCAGGUGGUUCUGGCGUACCCGGCAGGUGAUUUUGGCGUGUCAGGUAGGUGGUUCCGGCGAGUCAAGCAGGUGGUUCCGGCGUGCUUGGCAGGUGGUUCAGGCGGUUCUGGCAGGCGGUUUCCGUCUGUUUGGGUUGUGGCUCCGGCAUCUCAUGCACAUGGUUCUGGCACGUCUGAGAUGUGGUUCCGGCCGGCCCGACAGGUGUUUGGGCAGUGUCCGCCAAGCAGUUCUGGUGUAGUUGGCAGGUGAUUUUGGCAUGACCGGCAGGUGGUUCCAGCAAGCCCGGCCCGUGAUAACGAAGUGUUCACCAACUGGUUGUGUCGCAGCCGGCAGGUGAUUUUUGCGUGUCUGGCAGGUGGUUCUGGCGAGUCGAGCAGGUGGUUCCAGCGUGCUCGGCAGGUGCUUCCGGGGUCAUUGGCACGUGGUUCUGGCAUGUCUGAGAGGUGGUUCUGGCAUGCCCGGCCGGUGAUUCCGGAGUGUUUGCCAAGUGCUUCUCGCAUAGACUUCAGGUGAUUUUGUAUGUCUGGCAUUGGUUCCGGAGGGUCGAGCCGGUGGUUCCUGCAUGCUCGACCGUUGGAUCUGGCAGGUCCGGCAGGUGGUUCCGGUCUGUCCGGGAGGUGGUUCCGGCGUGUCUGGCAUAUGGUUCCGGCACGUCUGAGAGGUGGUUCUAUCAUGCCCGGCAGGUGAUUCCAGAGAGUCCACCAACUCGUUCUGGCGUAGCCGGCAGGUGAUUUUUGCGUGUCCAGCAUGUGGUUCUGGCGAGUCGAGCAGGUGGUUCCGGCGUGCUCGGCAGGUGCUUCCGGGGUCAUUGGCACAUGGUUCUGGCAUGUGUGAGAGGUGGUUCCGGCAUGCGCGGCAUGUGGUUCCGGCGUGUCUGGCAGGUGCUUCUGGUCUGUCCGGGUGCUGGUUCCGGCAUGGCCGGCACGUGGUUCUGGCACAUCUGUGAGGUGCUUCAGGCGUGCCUGGCAGGUGAUUCCUGGGUGUCUGCCAAGUGGUUCUGGCGUCACCGGCAGGUUAUUUUGGUGUGUCCGGCAGGUCUUUCCUGCUUUUUGCGCUCAUGGCUCUGGCUUGUAAGACAGAUGCUUGUGGCACUUCUGGCCCCCGUUCUUUCAUACUCAGCUGGUUUCAGAGUUUCUGGCUCCUGUUUGUGGCAUAUCCAACAGGUGUUUACAAUGUGUCUGGCAUGUCGUUGUGCUAUGUUUGGAAUCUGGUUCCGUCAUGUCAUUGUGUGCGGCUGGCAUGUUGAAGAGAUGGUUCUGCAGUGUCAGAAUCACUGUUCCACUGUGUCCGGCAGGUGGUUACAGGUGGUUCUGGCAUGCAACGUGCGUGCUUCUGGUAUGCCUGUUGGGUCAUACUGGCAUGAAUGUGUGGCCCUUUGAGAGUGUGCAGAGGGUGUUUUUGGCAUGUCUCCCGGGGUUUUCUGGCACAUAAGGGGCAUGAUUCCUUUUUAUACGUCAGGUGAGUUUGCUCUCAGCUUCCUAAAGAGAAGGAAGGAAGAUGGUCUGUGGCUUGUGGCCCCUUGAGGGGUGGGGCCAAUGCAUUGUGCAUUGCAAUCUAGAGCAAUGGAGGGUAUGGCUGAGAGCAAAAGGGUCUUUCUGACAUAGCUGCAUUCUGACACUCUCUCCACCAGUGCACAAUGGUGUUUGGAAAAAGGCUUACAGUCUGUCGCCUCCUGAGCAGGUGGAUGCUAAAUCAUUUGGGACUCAGCCCAGUUGCUUCAGGGGAAGAUGUAGGCAUUUCGUCUGAGCAAGGUUGGCAAGGUAGAACUGCGGCAGAAGCAGAAGUCCUAAAGCGGCGAGUUAAGCGCUGGGAAGAAAUGGCAUUUGAGCUGACUUUGUAUGAGAGAUUCCUCGUAUGUUGUACAACACUGUGGAAAGCGAGUUCUUUCUCAGCUUCCUAAAGAGCUGGAGGCAAGACAGUUUAUGGCUUCUCUCUCAUUGAAGGAUUGAGGCAGUGCUUUGUGCCUUCCACCUGCAGAGCAAUGGAGGGCACGGCUGAGAGCAAAGGGGGCUUUCUGCCAUUGGUGCUUUCUGAUACCCUUCAGGGGUGGUGCCAGUGCCUUGUGCCUCCUACCUCUAGAGGAAUGGAGGGCAAGACCAAGAGUAAAGGGACUUUCUGAAAUUGGUGGUUUCUGACACUGCCCCAACCAUUGCUCAAGGGCGGUUGGUUAAAAGCCUAUUGUCUGUCUCCUCCUCAGCAUGUGGAACCACAAUCAUCCGGGCCUCGUCCCCAUUGCUCAAGGGGAAGAUGUAGGCAUUUCGUCUGAGCCGGGUUGGCAAGGUGGAAAUGCGGCAGAAGCGGAUGUUGCAGAUUGGCGAGUUAAGGGCUGAAAAGACACGGCAUUCAGCUGCCUUGCUAUGAGAUGUUCCCAGGACGCUGUAAGAGCACUGUGGAAUGCGAGUGCUUUCCCAGCUUCCUAAAGAGCUGGAAGCAGGACAGUUGAUGGCUUGUCUGCAAUUGAAGGAUGGAGGCAGUGCUUUGUGCCUUCCACCUCUAGAGCAAUGGAGGGCACGGCUGAGAGCAAAGGGACCUUUCUGACAUUGGUGCUUUCUGGCACUCCCCCAACCAUUGCUCAAGGGCGGUUGGUUAAAAGCCUAUUGUCUCUCUCCUACUAAGCAGGUGCAAAAACAAUCAUUCGGGCCUCGUCCCCAUUGCUUAAGGGGAAGUUGUAGGCAUUUCGUCUGAGCCGGGUUGACAAGGUGGAAAUGUGGCACAUGCAGAUGUUCCAGAUCGGCGAGUGAAGUGCUGCAAGAAACGGCGUUCAGCUGCCUUUGUAUGAGAUGUUCCCUGGACGCUCUAAGAGCACUAUGGAAUGCGAGCUCUUUCUCAGCGUCCUAAAGAGCUGGACGCAAGAAGGUGUGUGGUUCGUCUGCCAUUGAGGGGUGGAGCCAGAGGCAGUGCAUUGUGCCUUCCUCCUCUAGAGCAAUUCAGGGCAUGGCUGAGAUCAAAUGGACCUUUCUGACAUAGGUGCUUUCUGACACUCUCUCCACCAGUGCACAACCGUGAUUGUAAAAAGCCUGUCUCUCUCCUCUUAAGCAUGUGGAAGCACAGUCAUAUGGGCCUCGUCCCCGUUGCUGAAGGGUAAGAUGUAGGCAUUUCGUCGGAGCCCGGAUGGCAAGGUGGAAAUGUGGCAGAAACAGAAGUUCCAAAUCGGCAAGUUAAGGGCUGAAAAGAAAUGGCGUUUCAGCUGCCUUUGUAUGAGAUGUUCCCUGGACUCUGUAAGAUCACUGUUGAAAGUGAGUUCCUUCUCAGCUUCCUAAAGAGAUGGAAGCAAGGUGGUCUGUGGCUUGUCGCCCCUUGAGGGGGGGAGCCAGUGCAUUGUGCAUUCCACGUCUAGAGCAAUGGAGGGCACGGCUGAGACCAAAGGGGUCUUUCUGACAUAGCUGCUUUCUGACACUCUCUCCAGCAGUGCACAAUGGUGGUUGGAAAAAGGCGUGCAGUCUAUCGCCUCCUAAGCACGUGGACGCUCAAUCAUUUGGGACUCAGGCCAGUUGCUUCAGGGGAAGAUGUAGGCAUUUCGUCUGAGCUGGGUUGGCAAGGUGCAAUUGUGGCAGAAGCAGAAGUUCUAAAGUGGCGAGUUAAGGGCUGGCAAGAAAGGCCGUUUUACCUGCAUUUCUAUGACAGUUUCCCCAGAGGCGGUUCCCGGGAGUCGAGCAGGUGUUUCCAGAAUGCUCAGCAGGUGGUUCCAGUCUUUCACGGAAGAGGCCUGGGGCGUCCAGCACCUGGUUCUGGCACAUCUGAGGGGCGGUUCCGGGAUGAAUGGCAGGUUAUUCCGGAGUGUCGGCAAGUGGUUCUGGCGUAGCCGGCAGGUGAUUUUGGUGUCUCCAGCAGAUGGUUCCACCAAGUCGAGCAGGUGGUUCCAGCGUGCUCGUAAGGUGGUUCAGGCAUGUCCGAAAGGUGGUUCCGGUUAGUCCGGGAGGUGGUUCCGGCGUGUCCGGCACGUUUUUCAGGCACGUCUGAGGGGUGGUUCCGGCAUGCACGGCAGGUGAUUCCGGAGUGUCCGCCAAGUGGUUCCCGUGUAGCCGGCAGGUGGUUCAGGCGGGUCCAGCAGGUGGUUCUGGGGAGUGGAUCAGGUGGUUCCGGCACGCCAGGCAGGUGAUUUUGGAGUGUCCGGCAAGUGGUUCUGGCAUAGCCGGCAGCUGAUUUGGCAUGUCCGGCAGGUGGCUCCAGCGAGUCAAGCAGGUUGUUCCGGCAUGCUCAGCAGGUGGUCCCGGCGUGUCCAGCAGGUGGUUCCGGUCUGUCCUGGAGGUGGUUGCAGAUUGUCUGCCGAGUGGUUGUGGCGUAGCCGGCAGGUGAUUUUGGCGUGUCCAGCAGGUGUUCCUGGGGAGUGGAUCAGGUGGUUCCGGCAUACCGGGCAUGUGUUACCAGCAUGUCCAGAACAAGGUUCCGGCAAGUCUGAGAGGUGGUUCCGGCAUGCCGACAGGUGAUUCCGGAGUGUCCGCCAAGUGGUUCUGGCAUACCCGGCAGGUGAUUUUGGCGUGCCCGGCAGGUGGUUCUGACGAGUCAAGCAGGUGGUUCCGGUGUGCUCGGCAGGUGCUUACAGUGUCAUUGGCAUGUGGUUCUGGCAUGUCUGAGAGGUGGUUCCGGCGUGCUCGGCAGGUCCUUCCGGUGUCAUUGGCAUGUGGUUCUGGCAUGUCUGAGAGGCGGUUCCGGCAUGCCCGGCAGGUGAUUCCGGAGGGUUCGCCAAGUGGUACUGGCAUAGCCAGCAGUUGUUUGUGGCGUGUCAGGUAGGUGGUUCCGACGAGUCGAGCAGGUGGAUCCGGCGUGCUCGGCAGGUGGUUCAGGCGGCUCUGGCAGGUGGUUUCGGUCUGUUGGGGUGUGCUUCCGGCAUCUCAGGCACAUGGUUCUGGCACAUCUGAGAGGUGGUUCCGGCCGGCCCGACAGGUGUUUCCGGAGUGUACGCCAAGUGGUUCUGGCGUAGCUGACAGGUGAUGUGGGCGUGACCAGCAGGUGGUUCCAGCCAGCCCGGCAGGUGAUUCCGAAGUGUUCACCAACUGGUUGUGGCGUAGCCGGCAGGUGAUUUUGGCGUGUCUGGCAGGUGGUUCUGGCGAGUCGAGCAGGUGGUUCCAGCGUGCUCGGCAGGUGCUUCCGGUGUCAUUGGCAUGUGGUUCUGGCAUGUCUGAGAGGUGGUUCCGGCAUGCCCGGCAGGUGAUUCCGGAGUGUUCGCCAAGUGGUUCUGGCAUAGCCGGCAGGUGAUUUUGCAUGUCCGGCAGUGGUUCCGGAGAGUCGAGCCAGUGGUUCCGGUGUGUCUGGCAGGUGGUUCCGGUCUGUCCUAGAGGUGGUUGCGGAGUGUCUGACGAGUGGUUCUGGCGUAGCCGGCAGGUGAUUAUGGCAUGUCCAGCAGGUGGUUCUGGGGAGUGGAUAAGGUGGUUCCGGCAUACUCGGCAGGUGGUACUGGCAUGUCCGGAACAUGGUUCUGGCAAGUCUGAGAGGUGGUUCCGGCAUGCCCGACAGGUGAUUCUGCAGUGUUCGCCAAGUGGUUCCGGCGUGUCCGGCAGGUGGUUCCGGUGUGUCCGGCAGGUGGUUCUGUGGUGUCCGCCACGAGGCUCUGGCACGUCUGAGAGGUUGUGUUGGCAUGCCCUUCACGUGAUUCCGGCUUGUCCCCCAAGUGAUUCUCCUGUAGCGGGCAGGUGAUAUUGGCAUGUCAGGCAGGUGGGACUGGUGAGUCAAGCAGGUUGCUCCGGCGAGUGUUUCCUUUGGUUCCGGUCUUUCCGGGAGAUGGUUCCGGCCUGUCCGGCACGUGCUUCUGGCACUUCAGAGAGGCUGUGCUGGCAUGCCCGGCAGGUGAUUCUGGAGUGUCCGCCAAGUGGUUCUGGCGUAGCCGGCCGGUGAUUUUGGCGUGUCCGGCAGGCGGUUCUGUGGAAUGGAUCAGGAACUUCCGGCAUUCUCGGCAGGUGCUUCCGCCGUCUCCGGCAUGUGGUUGUGGCACCUCUGAGAGGUGGUUCCAGCAUGCCCGGCAGGUGAUUCCGGAGUGUCCGACAAGUGGUUGUGGCGUAGCCGGCUGGUGAUUUUGGCGUGUCUGGCAGGUGGUUCUGGCGAGUCAAACAGGUGGUCCCGGCGUGUCAGGCAGGUGGUUCCGGUCUAUCUUGGAGAUGGUUCCGGAGUGUCUGCAGAGUGGUUCUGGCGUAGCUGGCAGGUGAUUUUGGCAUGCAAAGCAGGUGGUUCUGCAGAGUGUAUCAGGUGGUUCCGGCAUACUCGGCAGGUGGUACCGGCGUGUCCGGAACAUGGUUCUGGCAAGUCUGAGAAGUGGUUCUGGCAUGCCCGAAAGGUGAUCCUGGAGUGUCCUCCAAGUGGUUCUGGCAUACCCGGAAGGUGAUUUUGGCGUGUCCGGCAGGGGGUUCUGGAGAGUCGAGCAGGUGGUUCCGGCAUGCUCGGCAGGUCCUUCCAGUGUCAUUGGUAUGUGAUUCCGGCAUGUCUGAGAGGUGGUUCCGGCAUGCCCGGCUGGUGAUUCCGGAGUGUUCACCAAGUGGUUCUUGCAUAGCCGGCAGGUGAUUUUGGCGUGUCAGGUAGUUGGUUCCGGCGAGUCGUGCAGGUGGUCCCGGCGUGCUCGGCAGGUGGUUCAGGCGGGUGUGGCAGGUGGCUUCGGUCUGUUCGGGGUGUGGUUCCGGCAUCUCAGGCACAUGGUUCUGGCACGUCUGAGAGGUGGUUCCGGCCGGCCCGACAGGUGUUUCCGGAGUGUCCGCCAAGUGGUUCUGGCGGAGCUGACAGGUGAUGUGGGCGUGACCGGCAGGUGGUUCCAGCCAGCCCGGCUGGUGAUUCCGAAGUGUCCACCAACUGGUUGUGGUGUAGCCGGCAAGUGAUUUUGGCAUGUCCGGCAGCUGGUUCUGGGGAGUCGUGCAGGUGGUUCCGGCCGGCCUGACAGGUGUUUCUGGAGUGUCCGCCAAUUGGUUCUGGCGUAGCUGGCAGGUGAUUUUGCAUGUCCAGCAGUGGUUCCGGCGAGUCGAGCCGGUGGUUCCGGCGUGUCCGGCAGAUGGCUCCAGUGUGUCCGGCAGGUGGUUCUGGGGUGUCCAGCACGAGGUUCUGGCACGUCAGAGAGGUUGUGUCGGCAUGCCCUUCACGUGAUUUUGGCUUGCCUGCCAAGUGGUUCUGGUGUAGCAGGCAGGUGAUUUUGGCGUUUCCGGCUGGUGGUUCUGUGGAGUGGAUCAGGAACUUCCAGCAUUCUCGGCAGGUGCUUCCAGCAUCUCCGGCAUGUGGUUGUGGCACCUCUGAGAGGUGGUUCCAGCAUGCCCGGCAGGUGAUUCCGGAAUGUCUGACAAGUGAUUGUGGCGUAGCCGGCUGGUGAUUUUGGCGUGUCCGGCAGGUGGUUCUGGUGAGUCAAGCAGGUGGUCCCGGCGUGUCCAGCAGGGGGUUCCGGUCUGUCCUGGAGGUGGUUCCGGAGUGUCUGCCGAGCGUUUCUGGCGUAGCCGGAAGGUGAUUUUGGCGUGUCCAGCAGAUGGUUCUGGGGAGUGGAUCAGGUGGUUCCGGCAUACUCGGCAGGUGGUUCCGGCGUGUCCGGCACAUGGUUCUGGCACGUCUGAGAGGUGGUUCCGGCAUGCCUGUCACGUGAUCCCGGAGAGUCCUCCAAGUGGUUCUCGCGUACCCCGCAGGUGUUUCUGCUGUGUCCGGCAGGUGGCUCUGGUGAGUCGAGCAGGUCGUUCCAGUGUGCUCGGCACGUGGUUCAGGCAGGUCCAGCAGGUAUUUGCAGUCUGUCCAUGAAGUGGUUCUGGCAUGCCCGCAAGGUGAUUCUGGAGUGUCCACCAAUUGGCUUUGGCGUAGCCGGCAUAUGAUUUUGGCCUGUGAGGCAGGUGGUUCCGGCAUGUCCAGCAGGUGGUUCCGGCGAGUUCGGCAGGUGCUUGCGGUCUCUCCGGCAUGUGGUUGUGGCACAUCUGAGAGAUGGUUCCGGCAUGCCCGGCAGGUGAUUCCGGAGUCUCCGGCAUGUGGUUCUGGCACCUCUGAGAGGUGGUUCCGGCAGGCCCGGCAGGUGAUUCCGGAGUGUCUGCCGAGUGUUUCUGGCACCUCUGAGAGGUGGUUCCAUCAUGCCCUGCAUGUGAUUCCGGAGUGUCUGCCGAGUGGUUCUGACGUAGCCAGCAGGUGAUUUUGGCGUGUCCAGCAGCUGGUUCUGGUUAGUGGAUCAGGUGGUUCCGGCAUACUCGGCAGGUUGUACCGGCGUGUCCAGAACAUGGCGCUGGCAAGUCUGAGAGGUGGUUCCGGCAUGCCGGACAGGUGAUUCCGGAGUGUCCGCCAAGUGGUUCUGGCAUACCCGGCAGGUGAUUUUGGCAUGUCCGGCAGGUGAUUCUGGUGAGUCGAGCAGGUGUCUCUGGCAAGCUCGGCGGGUGCUUCUGGCGUCUCCGGCACGUGGUUCUGGUGUGUCUGCGAGCUGGUUCCGGCAUGUCCAGCAGAUGAUUCCGGAGUGUCCGCCAAGUGGUUCUAGCAUACCCGGCAGGUGGUUUUGGCAUGUCAGGUAGGUGGUUCCAGCGUGCUAGGCAGGUCGUUCAAGCGGGUCUGGCAGGUGGUUUCGGUCUGUUCGGGGUGUGGUUCCGGCAUCUCAUGCACAUGGUUCUGGCACGUCUGAGAGGUGGUUCCGGCCGGCCCGACAGGUGUUUCUGCAGUGUCCACCAAGUGGUUCUGGCGUAGUUGGCAGGUGAUUUUGGCAUGACCGGCAGGUGGUUCCAGCAAGCCCGGCAGGUGAUUGGGAAGUGUUCACCAACUGGUUGUGGCGUAGCCGGCAGGUGAUUUUUGCGUGUCCGGCAGGUGGUUCUGGCGAGUCGAGCAGGUGGUUCUGGCCUGCUCGGCAGGUGCUUCCGGCAUCUCCGGCACGUGUUUCUGGCACAUGUGACAGGUGGUUCCGGCAUGCCCUGCAGGUGAUUCUAGAGUGUCUGGCAAGUGGUUCUGGCAUUGCCGGCUGGUGCUGUUGGCGUGUCCAGCAGGUGGCUCCAACGAGUCGACUAGGUUGUUCCGGCGUGCUCAGCAGGUGGUUCAGGCGGGUCCGGCAUGUGGUUCCGGUCUGUCCUGUAGGUCGUUCCGACCUGUCCGGCACGUGCUUCCGGCACAUCUGAUAGGUGGUUCUGGCAUGCGCGGUAGGUGAUUCCGGACUGUCUGCCAGGUGGUUCCUGUAUAGACAGCUGUUGAGUGUGGCUGGUCCGGCAGGUGGUACCGGUGAGUCGAGCAGGUGGCUCCGGCGUGUCUGGCAGGUGGUUCCGUUCUGCCCGAUAGUUUGUUCCGGCAUGUCCGGCACAUGCUUCUGGCACGUCUGAGAGGUGGUUCUUGCAUGCCAGGCAGGUGAUACCGGAGUGUCGGGUAAGUGGUUCUGGUGUAGCCCCAGUUCCUUUUGGCAUGUCUGGCACAUGGUUCCUGCAAGUACAGCAGGUGGUUCCGGCGUGCUCGGCAGCUGGUUCCGGCAUGUCUGGCAGGUGGGUCCGGUCUGUCUGGUAGGUGUUUCCGGUGCGUUCAGCACCUGCUUCCAGCAUGUCUGAGAGGUGAUUCCAGCAUGCGAGGCAGGUGAUUCCUGAGUGUCCGCCAGGUGGUUCUGGCGUACGCGGCAGGUAAUUUUGGUGUGUCCGGCAGGUGUUUCUCGCGAGUCGAGCAGGUUGCUCCGGCAUGCUCGGCAGGUGGUUCCAGUCUGUCUGGUAGGUGUUUCUGGCGUGUCCGGAACGUGCUUCUGGCUUGUCUGAGAGGUGGUUCCGGCAUGCGCGGCAGGUGAUUUUGGCGUGUCCGGCAGGUGUUUCUGGCGAGUCGAGCAGGUUGCUGCGGCAUGCUCGGCAGGUGCUUCCGGCGUCUCCGGCACGUGGUUCUGGUGUGUCCGAGAGCUGGUUCCGGCAUGUCUGGCAGCUGAUCCCGGAGAGUCCUCCAAGUUGUUCUGGCAUAGCCCACAGGUGAUUUUGGCAUGUCCGGCAGGUGGUUCCGGCGUGCUCGGCAGGUGGUUCAGGCAUGUCCGGCAGGUGGUGCCGGUCUGUCCGGGAGGUGGUUCCGGCAUGUAAGGCACGUGGUUCUGGCACGUAGGAGAAGUGGUUCUGGCAUGCCCAGCAUGUGAUUCCAGAGAGUCCGCCAAGUGGUUCUGGCGUAACCGGCAGGUGAUUUUGGCGUGUCCAACAAGUGGUUCAGGCGAGAUGAGCAGGUGGUCCCGUCUGCGCAGGAGGUGCUUCCGGUGUGUUUGGCACAUGGUUUGGCCUGUCUGAGAGGUGGUUCCGGCAUGCCCGGCAGGUGAUUCCGGAGUAUCCAACAAGUGGUUCUGGCAUAGCCGGCUGGUGACUUGGGCGUGUUGGGCUGGUGCUUCCAGCAAGUCGAGCUUGUGGUUCUGGCGGGCUCAGCAGGUGGUUCAGGCGUUUUGGGCAGGUGGUUCCAGUCUUUCCUAUAGGUGUUUUCGGCGUGUCCCGCACAUGGUUCUGCCAUGUCUGAGAGUUGGCUCUGGCAUGCCCGGCAGGGGAUCCCAGACUGUCCCCAACGUGGUUCUGGCAUAGCUGGCAGGUGAUUUUGGCACGUCCAGCAGGUGGUUCCGGUGAUUCGAGCAGGUGGUCCCGGCGAGCUGGGCUGGUCGUUCACGUGUGUCUGACAGGUUGUUCCUGUCUGUCCGGGAGGUGGUUCCGGGGGGUACAGCAGGUGGUUCUGGCCUGUCCGGCAGGUGGUUCUGGGGUGUCCGCCAAGUAGUUUGGCAUAGCCGGCAGGUGAUUUUGGCGUGUCCGGCAGGUGAUGUUGGCGUGUCCGGCAGGUGUUUCUGGCGAGCUGUUCAGGUGGUUCCGGCGUUCUCGGCAGGUGAUUCUGGCAUUUCCCGCAGGUGGUUUCGGCCUGUCCGGCAGUGAGUUACUGCGUGUGCCACACGUGGUUCUAGUACGUCUGAGAGGUGGUUCCCGCAUGCCCAGCAGGUGAUUCCGGACUGUCCGCCACGUGGUUCUGGCACAUCGGAGAGGUGCUUCCGGCAUGCCCGGAAGGUGAUUCUGGAGUGUCCACCAAGUGGUUUUGGCAUAGCUGGCACGUGAUUUUGGCGUCUCAGGCAGGUGGUGCUGGCGUGUCCAGCAGGUGGUUCCGGCGAGCUCGGCAGGUGCCUCCUGUCUCUCCGGCACGUGGUUGUGGCACGUCAGAGGGGUGGUUGUGGCAUGACCGGCAGGUGAUUCCGGAGUCUGCGGCAUGUGGUUCUGGCACGUCUGAGAGGUGGUUCCGGCAUGCCCUGCAGGUGAUUCCAGAGUGUCUGGCAAGUGCUUCUGGCAUAGCCGGCUGGUGAUUUUGGCGUGUCCAGCAGGUGGCUCCAGCGAGUCGAGCAGGUUUUUUCGGCGUGCUCAGCAGGUGGUUCAGGCGGGUCCGGCAGGUGGUUCCGGUCUGUCCAGUAGGUGGUUCCGGUGUGUCCAGCAUGUGCUUCAGGCACAUCUGAUAGGUGGUUCCGGCAUGCCCGGCAGGUGAUUCCAUAGAGUCCUCCACGUGGUUCUGGCCUAGCCGGCAGGUGAUUCUGGUGUCUCCGGCAGUUGGUCCCGGCAAGUCGAGUAGGAGGUUCCAGCGUGCUCAGAAGGUGCAUCCGGUGUCUGUUACACGUGGUUCUGGCACGUCUGAGAGGUAGUUCCAGAAUGCCCAACAGGUGAUUCCGGAGUGUCCGGCAAGUGAUUCUGGCGUACCAGGAGGUGUUUUUGGUGUGUCCGGCAGGUGGUUCGGGCGUGUCGAGCAGGUGUUUCCGGCGUGCUCGGCAGGUGGUUCAGGCCGGUCCGGCAGGUGUUUGCAGUCUGUCCAUGACGUGGUUCCAGCAUGCCCGGAAGUUGAUUUUGGAGUGUCCACCAAGUGGUUUUGGCGUCGCCGGAACGUGAGUUUGGCAUGUCAGGCAGGUGCUUCCGGUCUCUCCAGCACGUGGUUGUGGCACGUCUCACAGGUGGUUCCGGCAUGCCCGGCAGGUGAUUCCGUAGUGUCCGACAUGUGGUUCUGGCACUUCGGAGAGGUGGUUCUGGCAUGCACUGCAGGUGAUUCCAGAGUGUCCAACAAGUGGUUCUGGCGCAGCACGCAGGUGAUUUUGGCGUGUCCGUUAGGGGGGUCCUGCGAGUCGAGCCGGUGGUUCCGGCAUGCUCGGCUCUUGGUUCAGGGGUGUCCUGCAGGUGGUUCCAGUCUGUCCAGGACAUGGUUCCUGCGUGUCCGGCACAUGGUUCUGGGACGUCUGAGAUGCGGUUCCGGCAAGGCUGGCAGGUGAUUUCGGAGUAUCUGCCAUGUUGUUCUGGCAUAGCCAGCAGGUGAUUAUGGCGUGUCCGGCACAUGGUUCCAACGAGUUGAGCAGGUUAUUCCGGUGUGCUCGGCAUGUGCUUCUGGUGUUUUUGUGGGGUGGUUCCGGCGUGUCAGGAAUGUGGUUGCGGCAAGUUU
ensembl:lncRNA